UCUUUAUUCCUUACACUCUCUCACCGGUCAGAUAGGCGAGAAAGUGUGCAAAAUGAAGAUA
rfam:Pristionchus pacificus strain PS312 contig3133, whole genome shotgun sequence.